AGAUAGCUGACAAGGUGCCCGUUGCGGAGAGGACAAGCAGAUCGUAAAGACGCCGUGAAAUCAUCCCUGAUGGCUCGAGCCACGCCAUCCUUGGCGCGGACGCUUU
rnacentral:ncRNA from 1 species